rnacentral:lncRNA from 1 species
UGGUGUUAGCCUUUGGGGAAGGAUAGGAUAUGGACAUCAACAUCUCUGUUUCUGAUCACUAACCAAGAGCUUCCCGUUGUUGGGUCCCUGAAAAUCCUCAGCUAUUUGUGACUGGAUGGAGAGGCUGGUGUUUGGUGUUAGCGGAUUUCUUUGCUCUUGACAGAGAGGGGAGAGGAGAAAGCAGUUAUAGCUUCAAUGGGGUCCAGCCUCUGCUCCAGAGCACUGUUUAGACUAGUCCUUGGGGUUGAGGGAAGUAGAACACUGCCCUCUAAGGACCAGAGCUAUGGAGGAAAGCUGUUCCAAGGGCCUGAGGAUGUGGGGAAUAUUAACAUCCUUCUGGGGCCUGCAAGAGCCAAGAUGGCAGCUUGCAGAUGGCGCUUGGGAGGACGGGGAAGCUUCUACAAGUUGAGUCCCUCUUGAGCACAGAGGGACUAGUCCUUCUCCAGCCUCUGGUAUGAACCAAAAAAGGGAAACCCUCUUGGAAGGGCUGGAUUCCUUCUAGCAUGAGAGGCUUCUGGGGGCCCUUGUCUGGCUCAGAGCUAGCUUUUGGGUGGGACAGGAGGUAUUCCUGAGAAGAGAGCAGGAGCCACCAGCCAUCCCAGGACUCUGACUGGCAGUCCUCCAAGGACCUGUGCUGUGUGUUAGGGUAGCUUGGUGUUGUCUGUGCCCCACUAGUAAGUUCUGUCUGAAUGUGUCUUAGAUGUUCACUGUCCAAUUUGGUAACAUUUCUUUUGGUCCCGCCCCCUUCUGCUGCUGGAUUUAUGCUUCAGUGCAGGUGGAAUGGUGUUCAAAUAAAGACACAAUUUAUAUC